GAUGAACGCUAGCUACAGGCUUAACACAUGCAAGUCGAGGGGAAACGAUAGAGAAAGCUUGCUUUUUCUAGGCGUCGACCGGCGCACGGGUGAGUAACGCGUAUCCAACCUGCCCAUCACUUGGGGAUAACCUUGCGAAAGUAAGACUAAUACCCAAUGAUAUCUCUAGAAGACAUCUGAAAGGGAUUAAAGAUUUAUCGGUGAUGGAUGGGGAUGCGUCUGAUUAGCUUGUUGGCGGGGUAACGGCACACCAAGGCGACGAUCAGUAGGGGUUGUGAGAGGAAGGUCCCCCACAUUGGAACUGAGACGCGGUCCAAACUCCUACGGGAGGCAGCAGUGAGGAAUAUUGGUCAAUGGGCGAGAGCCUGAACCAGCCAAGUAGCGUGCAGGAUGACGGCCCUAUGGGUUGUAAACUGCUUUUAUAAGGGAAUAAAGUGAGUCUCGUGAGACUUUUUGCAUGUACCUUAUGAAUAAGGACCGGCUAAUUCCGUGCCAGCCGCCGCGGUAA
rnacentral:rRNA from 1 species